rnacentral:rRNA from 1 species
UGGUUCUCCCCGAAAGCUAUUUAGGUAGCGCCUCGUGAAUUCAUCUCCGGGGGUAGAGCACUGUUUCGGCUAGGGGGCCAUCCCGGCUUACCAACCCGAUGCAAACUGCGAAUACCGGAGAAUGUUAUCACGGGAGACACACGGCGGGUGCUAACGUCCGUCGUGAAGAGGGAAACAACCCAGACCGCCAGCUAAGGUCCCAAAGUCAUGGUUAAGUGGGAAACGAUGUGGGAAGGCCCAGACAGCCAGGAUGUUGGCUUAGAAGCAGCCAUCAUUUAAAGAAAGCGUAAUAGCUCACUGGUCGAGUCGGCCUGCGCGGAAGAUGUAACGGGGCUAAACCAUGCACCGAAGCUGCGGCAGCGAACGUAUCACCCAAGACAACUUUACGGAGUUGACGAUUGACGGAGCGAAGCGACGUCAAAGCGUUCAUUAAAGUCGAGUUGGCUUAGGGAUACGUUCGUUGGGUAGGGGAGCGUUCUGUAAGCCUGUGAAGGUGUGUCGUGAGGCAUGCUGGAGGUAUCAGAAGUGCGAAUGCUGACAUAAGUAACGAUAAAGCGGGUGAAAAGCCCGCUCGCCGGAAGACCAAGGGUUCCUGUCCAACGUUAAUCGGGGCAGGGUGAGUCGACCCCUAAGGCGAGGCCGAAAGGCGUAGUCGAUGGGAAACGGGUUAAUAUUCCCGUACUUGGUGUUACUGCGAAGGGGGGACGGAGAAGGCUAUGUUGGCCGGGCGACGGUUGUCCCGGUUUAAGCGUGUAGGUGUGUGUUCCAGGUAAAUCCGGUUCACUUUAACACUGAGGCGUGACGACGAGGCACUAC